rnacentral:rRNA from 1 species
UACGAACUGUGCAAACGUUAUUCGGAAUCACUGGGCUUACAGGGUGCGUAGGCGGCUUGUUAAGUAGGGUGUGAAAGCCCCCGGCUCAACCGGGGAAUGGCGCCCUAAACUGGCGAGCUAGAGUGAGAUAGGGGUGUGUGAACUACCGGUCGGAGCGGUGAAAUGUGUUGAUAUCGGAAGGAACGCCGGUGGCGAAAGCGACACACUGGAUCUUGUCUGACGCUGAGGCACGAAAGCCAGGGGAGCGAACGGG